UCUUAUGGAUGAGCAGAGAAAGUAGUUUCUUGAGAUGGAAUCUGCUCUUGGUGAAGGUGCUCUAAA
rnacentral:pre_miRNA from 1 species